GAUGAACGCUGGCGGCGUGCUUAACACAUGCAAGUCGAACGGUGAAGCCCAGCUUGCUGGGUGGAUUAGUGGCGAACGGGUGAGUAACACGUGAGUAACCUGCCCUUAACUCUGGGAUAAGCCUGGGAAACUGGGUCUAAUACCGGAUAGGAGCGUCCACCGCAUGGUGGGUGUUGGAAAGAUUUAUCGGUUUUGGAUGGACUCGCGGCCUAUCAGCUUGUUGGUGAGGUAAUGGCUCACCAAGGCGACGACGGGUAGCCGGCCUGAGAGGGUGACCGGCCCCACUGGGACUGAGACACGGCCCAGACUCCUACGGGAGGCAGCAGUGGGGAAUAUUGCACAAUGGGCGCAAGACUGAUGCAGCGACGCCGCGUGAGGGAUGACGGCCUUCGGGUUGUAAACCUCUUUCAGUAGGGAAGAAGCGAAAGUGACGGUACCUGCAGAAGAAGCACCGGCUAACUACGUG
rnacentral:rRNA from 1 species